rnacentral:rRNA from 1 species
CCUACGGGGGGCAGCAGUGAGGAAUAUUGGUCAAUGGACGAGAGUCUGAACCAGCCAAGUAGCGUGAAGGAUGACUGCCCUAUGGGUUGUAAACUUCUUUUAUAUGGGAAUAAAACGUUCCACGUGUGGGAUUUUGUAUGUACCAUAUUAAUAAGGAUCGGCUAACUCCGUGCCAGCAGCCGCGGUAAUACGGAGGAUCCGAGCGUUAUCCGGAUUUAUUGGGGUUAAAGGGAGCGUAGGUGGAUUGUUAAGUCAGUUGUGAAAGUUUGCGGCUCAACCGUAAAAUUGCAGUUGAAACUGGCAGUCUUGAGUACAGUAGAGGUGGGCGGAAUUCGUGGUGUAGCGGUGAAAUGCUUAGAUAUCACGAAGAACUCCGAUUGCGAAGGCAGUUCACUGGACUGCAACUGACACUGAGGCUCGAAAGUGUGGGUAUCAAACAGGAUUAGAUACCCGAGUAGUC